AUUGAACGCUGGCGGCAUGCCUUACACAUGCAAGUCGAACGGCAGCACGGGAGCAAUCCUGGUGGCGAGUGGCGAACGGGUGAGUAAUAUAUCGGAACGUGCCCAGUCGUGGGGGAUAACGCAGCGAAAGCUGUGCUAAUACCGCAUACGAUCUAAGGAUGAAAGCGGGGGAUCGCAAGACCUCGCGCGAUUGGAGCGGCCGAUAUCAGAUUAGCUAGUUGGUGGGGUAAAGGCCCACCAAGGCGGCGAUCUGUAGCUGGUCUGAGAGGACGACAAGCCACACUGGAACUGAGACACGGUCCAGACUCCUACGGGAGGCGGCAGUGGGGAAUUUUGGACAAUGGGCGCAAGCCUGAUCCAGCAAUGCCGCGUGCAGGAUGAAGGCCUUCGGGCUGUAAACUGCUUUUGUACGGAACGAAACGGCCCUUUCUAAUACAAGGGGCUAAUGACGGUACCGUAAGAAUAAGCACCGGCUAACUACGUGCCAGCCGCCGCGGUAAAAC
rnacentral:rRNA from 1 species